UUUUUUUUUUUUUUUUUUUUUUUUCG
rnacentral:ribozyme from 1 species